rnacentral:rRNA from 1 species
AACGAACGCUGGCGGCAGGCCUAAUACAUGCAAGUCGAACGGAUGUAGCAAUACAUUAGUGGCGCACGGGUGCCUAACGCGUGGGAACAUACCCUUGAGUAAGGAAUAAUGUCUGGAAACGGACACUAAUACCUUAUAAUGACUUCGGUCCAAAGAUUUAUCGCUCAAGGAUUGGCCCGCGUCUGUUUAGCUAGUUGGUGAGGUAACGGCUCACCAAGGCGACGAUCAGUAGCUGGGCUGAGAGGAUGAUCAGCCACACUGGGACUGAGACACGGCCCAGACUCCUACGGGAGGCAGCAGUAAGGAAUAUUGGACAAUGGGGGAAGCCCUGAUCCAGCCAUGCCGCGUGAGUGAAGAAGGCCUUAGGGUUGUAAAGCUCUUUCAAUGGUGAAGAUAAUGACGGUAGCCAUAGAAGAAGCCCCGGCUAAAUUCGUGCCAGCAGCCGCCGUAAUAC